rnacentral:rRNA from 1 species
UUUAUUGGAGAGUUUGAUCCUGGCUCAGGAUGAACGCUGGCGGCGUGCCUAAUACAUGCAAGUCGAGCGAAUGGAUUGAGAGCUUGCUCUCAAGAAGUUAGCGGCGGACGGGGGAG